rnacentral:rRNA from 1 species
GAACGCGAAGAACCUUACCAAGUCUUGACAUCCUUUGACCACUCUAGAGAUAGAGCUUUCCCUUCGGGGACAGAGUGACAGGUGGUGCAUGGUUGUCGUCAGCUCGUGUCGUGAGAUGUUGGGUUAAGUCCCGCAACGAGCGCAACCCUUAUUACUAGUUGCCAGCAUUGAGUUGGGCACUCUAGUGAGACUGCCGGUGACAAACCGGAGGAAGGUGGGGAUGACGUCAAAUCAUCAUGCCCCUUAUGACUUGGGCUACACACGUGCUACAAUGGAUGGUACAACGAGCAGCGAACUCGCGAGGGUAAGCGAAUCUCUUAAAGCCAUUCUCAGUUCGGAUUGUAGGCUGCAACUCGCCUACAUGAAGCCGGAAUCGCUAGUAAUCGCGGAUCAGCACGCCGCGGUGAAUACGUUCCCGGGUCUUGUACACACC